AACAUGAGAGUCAAAGACACUGGACAAUUUAAAGUAGAGAUCAAGAGCAACACCAAUCCACUUAACAAAAACAAUCAAAGUCAAUGUCCGUGCUCCCACAAAAAAGGAAUGGGAUGAUCUAAAUGACACAAUGUUGUCACUGAUACCAGAAGAGGACCCCAACAACACUACUACAUACACUGUGGAGCCGACGGACACAGAUGAGGAGUUAUCAUAGUCAUAAAAGUUGGGGAACGGCGACACAAGGUCACAUGACAAGGACAGUAUGUCAGAUGUAGUAAAUAUGGAUUGUAUUCAUAUUAUACACAAGCAUACUCAAAGACCAUACUUUUUAAAUGGUUGAGAAGAUAUGAAUCAAGUGCAGUAUGUAUUCUGACAGUAUGCAAAAACAGGUGCAUGUUAUUGAGGAGCUAAAGGUUUUCUUUGGCAUUACUAGGACAACAUACUUCUUAACUGAAGUAUAUUUACACUAACAGUUGGUUAACAGUGCUAUGUGACUCUCUCCAAAGGAUUCAUUUAACACUAUUUGAUGUUUUUUGUUAAUAGUAGUUUAGAAAAUAUUGUAUUUUUUUUCAUUAUUUUUAGUGUACUAUUAUUUUGAAUAAUUUUUGUUAUACAAGAGUCCACCUUAAAUAUUACUCCAAUAAUUUAUUAAGGGGCCAAGCAGAGAUAAAUGAUAUACCAUACUAGUAUGUAUUGGAAAACAUGGCUAAUCAUUAAUUGUCAAUUAAAAUAGCAAAGCUACUAUUAUUUAGUUACACUCUGAUACAUUAUUAUAAAACUACUUAAGUGCUCUUAUAAUAUGGUGCUAAAGACCUACAGUAAAUAUAAUUUCAAUACACUGCAACUUUAAAUAUGCUAAUCUCUGGACCAAAAUGACAGUGGCAAAACAUUUAUUAACCUCAUAUUGUAUAUAAACGGUAUCAGGGUUUGUUUGCAUCUUAUAAAUAAAUUUGGGAGCGAAAUACUGCCAUUAAUGUUGACAUUAACUUGUAAUGUGAAUAUGUCGUGAUAUACUGAGUUUUUAAUAUUCAGUCCAGCGUUUAUUUACAUACUGUGAUAUUUGAGAAGCUCUUUGUAAAUUCACAUUCAAAUAUAUUUUAGGGACUAAUAAAAUUGACUUAAGAAA